rnacentral:rRNA from 1 species
GAUCAUGGCUCAGAACGAACGCUGGCAGCGUGGAUAGGCAUGCAAGUCGAACGGGAUCCGCAAGGUAGCAAUACUGCGCGGUGAGAGUGGCGGAUUGGGGAGGAGCACGUGAGCAACCUGCCCUGGAGAUGGGGAAAACAGUUGGAAACGGCUGCUAAUACCGCAUAAGCGCACGGAACCGCAUGGUUCAGUGUGAAAAAUUCCGGUGGUUAAGGAUGGGCCCGCGUUGGAUUAGGUAGUUGGUGCGGUAACGGCGCACCAAGCCGACGAUCCAUAGCCGACCUGAGAGGGUGACCGGCCACAUUGGGACUGAGACACGGCCCAGACUCCUGCGGGAGGCAGCAGUGGGGAAUAUUGCACAAUGGGGGAAACCCUGAUGCAAGCGACGCCGCGUGAGUGAAGAAGUAUUUCGGUAUGUAAAGCUCUUUCGGCAGGGAAGAAGAUGACGGUACCUGCAGAAGAAGCCCCGGCUAACUACGUGCCAGCAGCCGC